CGGGGCUCCAAGUGUCCACGCUCUGAGGAGAGUUGGCGACAGGUCCUAGGCCGUGAGUUAACACUGGGGAUUUGGACCCAGGACUUUGUCCUGUGUGACAGCCAAGCACUCUACUACUGAGCUACACUCCCUGCCCAACCUCAAGUACUUCGUUAAUGUCUUCAGAAGGAGGAUGACAGGGACUCAGAAGGGAGCUGCAGUAUCGCUUAUGUCCACCAGAUGAUGCCACCAUUCAGUGGAAUUCCAGAUUCUGGCUUGGGGACGCAAGCAUGACUGUGGCCAAGUUUGAGAUUGGCCUGCUUUGGAAUAUCAAAUACCUCCUCUUUGGAGGGGAAGGAAGAUGAAAGCAAUGACAUCCACACUCCCCCAGAGCAUCUCCCCAGCACAGCCUGAGCUCUUGCAAUGGGGUUUUGUCGGGAGAGCUCAUCACCUGGAGUGGUCAGGAGGGCUCAGUCACUGUGCGGUCACUGGGGGAGAAGACCUCGUGGCUUCAGCCUAGCCUGCUGAGGAAGCUCUUGGAGUCAGGGUGUCAGAGGGCUGAGACCCCACAGGAAGUGCAGAGCCGGAUGGGAAGGAGAGGUGACCACAUCCUGCAUUUCUCUGUGGUUCCCCCAGGAACCAGUAACACAGCCUGGAGGCUCAGCAGAGGAAAACCAAGAAGCCAAAUGAAAACCACAAUGAAAUACUCCUUCAUAUCCGCCAGCAUUGCUAUCAUGAAAAGAAAGAUAAUAACAAGUGCUGGUGAAGAUGUGGGGAAAUAGGAGCCCUCAGGCACUGUUGGUGGAUAGCUGCUUUGCACAGUAAUCUAGCAUUCCCAAAAGGUUAAAUAGAGACUUGUCUUUCAACACAGCAAUUCCACUUUUAGGUGCAUACCCAAAAGAAAUGGAAAUUUUGGUCCACAUGAAAACCUGUCCCUUAAUGUUUGGAGCAGCAUUAGGCAUAAUGACCAAAAAAUGAAAAGUACCCAACAGUUCUGCUGUUAAGAUUGAGAAGUUUUUGUGGUGUCUGAA
rnacentral:lncRNA from 1 species